rnacentral:misc_RNA from 1 species
GAGAGAGAGAGAGAGAGAGCAGUAAAUGAUUGUUGUGAAAAUUCUCCGCUUAAGACUCAAUGGAAAUAUGAAACCAAAACACCAAAAUUGGAACUCCAACAAUGAUAUAUUUGCUAGGAAAGAGAAGAGUAAUAAAUCGCAUCAAGCCUACAAACAAGCUAGAUACAUUUACUUAAUGCAUCAAACACACAUUUUCUACUAGAUAAUCAAACAUAUAAAGGACACUAGAAAGAAUUUUUUUAAUAAUCAGAAUAAUGCAAAGAAGAACCACUUUCCAAAUUCACAGUGAUAGGUCCAUUGUCCUUUGAGGAGACUCUUAACAAAUUCAAAAGAAAAAAACUAAAUACAAUAUUGGUUAGCCAUCAUACGUAAUUAUUGAUUUCCCACACAGCAAAUUAAAUGAAAU